CUUUACCCACAUAUAUUGUGGCCAAGAACAAAGAUGUAAUGAUGACUGUCAUACCUCGAAGGUGGCAAUAGGAGAGAUAAUGUUGCCCCUAGGUAGGCUUAGGAAAAUAACAAAGUCUUUUUUCUGUACAAAAGUCAUAGAGAAUUACCAAUUUCUCACAUCUAUAAAGACCUAGUAUGUUACAGAGAAUGUCAUAACAAGACCCAGCACACAGUUGGAAUUUUCACUGUCAUAAGUGAACAUCUGGCCACAGUUGGGAUGGUGACUCAUUUCUAAACCCAGCUUGUAGGAAGGUGAGGACUCUCCUAUCUGGACUCAACCAAUUGGAGAGAUGUUGACUGUCAUAUCUGGACGUAGAACCACAGGGAAGACUCUGGAUCUCCUUCCUGUAUGAAGGUCACAGAGGAUCACCAUUCUUGCAUAUUGUAUAAAGCCUUCAGGUGACACAGAGAGUGUCAUAAGAGAACACAGCACACAGGUGGGCUAGUGACUCUCAGACCAAGAUUCAGCACACAUGUGAGGCUGUAACUGCACUGAAAGGACAAGUCUGCAGAAUAAACUGUGGCUGUCUUGCAAAAAUUCUGUCAACCAUUGAGACUGUGACUCACACACUUAGAUCCAACAUCCAAGGCUGGGCGCAGUGGCUCACGCCUGUAAUCCCAGCACUUUGAAAGGCCAACGCAGG
rnacentral:lncRNA from 1 species